rnacentral:rRNA from 1 species
CCCUUAGAUGUUCUGGGCCGCACGCGCGCUACACUGAUGCGUUCAACAAGUCUUAACCUUGGCCGAUAGGUCUGGGUAAUCUUUGAACGCUGUUCGUGAUUGGGAUAGACCUUUGCAAUUAUGGGUCUUCAACGAGGAAUUCCUAGUAAACGCAAGUCAUCAGCUUGCAUUGAUUACGUCCCUGCCCUUUGUACACACCGCCCGUCGCACCUACCGAUUGAAUGGUCCGGUGAAAUCUCGGGACGGCGGCUUGGUCGCUUGCGUCCGACUGCUGAAACUUGAUUAAACCAUAUCAUUUAGAGGAAGGUGAAGUCGUAACA